AUGAUCCAGCUUGUUUCAGUCAGCCAGUCUGGUGCUUCUGUGUGAAUGAGGAAUUAGAAAGUGGGCGUGGAACGAGAGAGUUGUUUCAAGGUAAUUGAAGACACCAAAUUUAUACCAGCAGAUUUUCAGAAGACAACCAGGUCAUUCUUAUUGGUGAAAGAAGAGAGGAAUUGAAUUUAUGCAUUUGGCUGACCAUGGUGUAGCAUCACCAUGUGCUUACGUAGCUGAAUAGUGGUUAUCCAUGAGCGAUGUAGGUUACCAAAUCUAGAGAUGGUGUGCACUUUACAAACCAAGAGCAAGAUUCAUUCAUUGGCCUCUCGCCACAGAGGGUCUGUUGGAAAUGGGGGCUCAGUG